rnacentral:rRNA from 1 species
CCUACGGGAGGCAGCAGUGGGGAAUAUUGGACAAUGGGCGAAAGCCUGAUCCAGCCAUUCCGCGUGUGUGAAGAAGGCCUUCGGGUUGUAAAGCACUUUCAGUGGGGAAGAAAGCCUUGGGGCUAAUACCCUCGAGGAAGGACAUCACCCACAGAAGAAGCACCGGCUAACUCCGUGCCAGCAGCCGCGGUAAUACGGAGGGUGCGAGCGUUAAUCGGAAUUACUGGGCGUAAAGCGCGCGUAGGCGGUCUGAUAAGCCGGUUGUGAAAGCCCCGGGCUCAACCUGGGAACGGCAUCCGGAACUGUCAGGCUAGAGUGCAGGAGAGGAAGGUAGAAUUCCCGGUGUAGCGGUGAAAUGCGUAGAGAUCGGGAGGAAUACCAGUGGCGAAGGCGGCCUUCUGGACUGACACUGACGCUGAGGUGCGAAAGCGUGGGUAGCAAACAGGAUUAGAUACCCGAGUAGUC